rnacentral:rRNA from 1 species
UGCCAUAGCCAUAUCACCCUGCAGCUAAGUUGGGCUAAGCCUGGUCCGUACCUGGAUGGGAGACCACAUGGGAAAACUAGGUUGCUGUUGAAA